CGAACGCUGGCGGUGUGCUUAAUGCAUGCAAGUCGAACGAGAACUUCACAGUGAGUAAUCACAGUGGGGUAUCUAGUGGCGAACGGGUGAGUAUCACGUGAGAAACCUGCCCCGGAGAUCGGGAUAGCCCAGGGAAACCUGGAUUAAUACCGAAUAUCCUCCAACUGUCGCAUGGCGGAUGGAGGAAAUGGUCCGCUGCUCCGGGAUGGUCUCGCGACCUAUCAGCUUGUUGGUGAGGUAACGGCUCACCAAGGCAACGACGGGUAGCUGGUCUGAGAGGACGAUCAGCCACACUGGGACUGAGACACGGCCCAGACUCCUACGGGAGGCAGCAGCAGGGAAUAUUGCGCAAUGGGCGAAAGCCUGACGCAGCGACACCGCGUGAGGGAUGAAUGCCUUCGGGUUGUAAACCUCUUUCAGGAGGGAAGAAGCGAAAGUGACGGUACCUCCAGAAGAAGCCCCGGCCAACUAC
rnacentral:rRNA from 1 species